UACGGGGGGAGCAAGCGUUGUUCGGAUUUACUGGGCGUAAAGGGCGCGUAGGCGGCGUGGUAAGUCACUUGUGAAAUCUCCGAGCUUAACUCGGAACGGUCAAGUGAUACUGCUGUGCUAGAGUGCGGAAGGGGCAACUGGAAUUCUCGGUGUAGCGGUGAAAUGCGUAGAUAUCGAGAGGAACACCUGCGGCGAAGGCGGGUUGCUGGGCCGACACGUGACGCUGGAGGCGCGAAAGCUAGGGGAGCGAACGGG
rnacentral:rRNA from 1 species